AAUUAAGCAUAUCAAUAAGCGGAGGAAAAGAAACCAACAGGGAUUGCCCUAGUAACGGCGAGUGAAGCGGCAACAGCUCAAAUUUGAAAUCUGGCUCUUUCAGAGUCCGAGUUGUAAUUUGCAGAGGGCGCUUUGGCUUUGGCAGCGGUCCAAGUUCCUUGGAACAGGACGUCACAGAGGGUGAGAAUCCCGUACGUGGUCGCUAGCUAUUGCCGUGUAAAGCCCCUUCGACGAGUCGAGUUGUUUGGGAAUGCAGCUCUAAAUGGGAGGUAAAUUUCUUCUAAAGCUAAAUAUUGGCCAGAGACCGAUAGCGCACAAGUAGAGUGAUCGAAAGAUGAAAAGCACUUUGGAAAGAGAGUCAAACAGCACGUGAAAUUGUUGAAAGGGAAGCGCUUGCAGCCAGACUUGCUUGCAGUUGCUCAUCCGGGCUUUUGCCCGGUGCACUCUUCUGUAGGCAGGCCAGCAUCAGUUUGGGCGGUGGGAUAAAGGUCUCUGUCACGUACCUCUCUUCGGGGAGGCCUUAUAGGGGAGACGACAUACCACCAGCCUAGACUGAGGUCCGCGCAUCUGCUAGGAUGCUGGCGUAAUGGCUGUAAGCGGCCCGUCUUGAAACACGGACCAAGGAGUCUAACAUCUAUGCGAGUGUUUGGGUGUCAAGCCCGAGCGCGUAAUGAAAGUGAACGGAGGUGGGAACCCGCAAGGGUGCACCAUCGACCGAUCCUGAAGUUUACGGAAGGAUUUGAGUAAGAGCAUGGCUGUUGGGACCCGAAAGAUGGUGAACUAUGCUUGAAUAGGGUGAAGCCAGAGGAAACUCUGGUGGAGGCUCGCAGCGGUUCUGACGUGCAAAUCGAUCGUCAAAUUUGGGCAUAGGGGCGAAAGACUAAUCGAACUAUCUAGUAGCUGGUUCCUGCCGAAGUUUCCCCUCAG
rnacentral:rRNA from 1 species